rnacentral:snRNA from 1 species
GUGCUCACUUUUGCAGCACAUAUACUAAAAUUAGAACAGUGCAGAUAAGAUUAACAUGGCCCCGCACAAGCAUGGACCCCAAAUUUGUGAAGCAGUAUAUAUGUAC